AGGAUUCAGUGUCGCAGCUAACGCACUAAGCACACCGCCUGGGGAGUACGGUCGCAAGAUUAAAACUCAAAGGAAUUGACGGGGACCCGCACAAGCGGUGGAGCAUGUUGUUUAAUUCGACGCAACGCGAAGAACCUUACCUACACUUGACAUACUCGUCGGGGAUUUCAGAGAUGAUUUCCUUCGGUUCGGCCGGACGAUGUACAGGUGCUGCACGGCUGUCGUCAGCUCGUGUCGUGAGAUGUUUGGUUAAGUCCAGCAACGAGCGCAACCCCUAUCGUAUGUUGCCAGCAUUCAGUUGGGCACUCAUGCGAGACUGCCGGUGUUAAGCCGGAGGAAGGUGGGGACGACGUCAAGUCAUCAUGGCCCUUACGUGUAGGGCUACAAACGUGCUACAAUGGAUAUUACAGUGGGCAGCAACAUCGCGAGGUGAAGCUAAUCCCUAAAAGUAUUCUCAGUUCGGAUAGGACUCUGCAACUCGAGUCCUUGAAGUCGGAAUCGCUAGUAAUCGUGGAUCAGCAUGCCACGGUGAAUACGUUCCCGGGUCUUGUACACACCGCCCGUCACACCAUGGGAGUUGGUUUUACCCGAAGGCGCCGCGCUAACUACGGAGGCAGGCGACCACGGUAGGGUCAGCGACUGGGGUGAAGUCGUAACAAGGUAGCCG
rnacentral:rRNA from 1 species